UGCCUGCUGUACUGAUAAUCAGUGUGCGACGUCAGCUGGCUCAGUUCAGCAGGAACAGA
ensembl:miRNA gmo-mir-24a-2 gmo-mir-24a-2